CAUAAGCAGCCCAUUUUAUGAAGGCUUCUAUUCGAAACAUCUAAAACUUAUUUAUAGAACUACAUUCUUUGAAAAUUUUGUAGAAAUUUUUUGAAUGAGGCUAAUUUAACCUUUAAUUUAUUUUAUUUAUUAUAUCAGUGGAAUGCUGUUACCUAGAAAAGUCCACCUGAAGUUAUCAUGGCCGAAAAAAAAAUUGGGUAAAUACAUUAUAUUCCUAUUUUGCUCAGGAUUUGGCCCUACGAUUUAUUAAUUAUAAUAGUGAACCUAGAAUGGCUGGAAACUGUCACGAUUACAAAAUGAAGGAUGUGUCAAUGUCAGUCGACGCAAAAUCAGUUUUAUAUAAAACAGAUUUCCUUCAAAUGACCUUUUCUAGAUUGUCGCAUAGAUCAGAUUUUUAUUUUAUUACUGCUAGAUGUAUCCCGUUGCAGAGACUCAGAUUGUAUUUAGGUUUCUCAGGAGGAUUACAUACUGCCUAUGCCUAUUUUUAAUUUAGGCAGCUGUAUUCUUGAAUGUAUUAAACAUAGGGGCUGUUUUCUCUUUCCUGCUCAUCCUCUUAGUUAAACGAGGCUAUAUUGAAGCAGCUUUCUAAAAUAUUCAAAACCUCUUCAUUUUUGCAAUUUCGUUAUUGCAGGGACUUAUUUUUGUAAUUUCGUCACGAAAGAAGUCGUUUCUGAGUGUCCGAAAAUUUCGAAACAUCAGUUAAGUUCAAUUUAUCACCAUAAGGUGGUCUCCCGAACAAUCGAAAUUUGAAUUAAUAUUUUUUAGAUACUUUUUAUUAUUUCCUCACCCAAAUUGUCCUCAAAACUGUUUCUCAGUUUUCCAUCAUAGAGUUUCAUUAACCAAUCAAUGUAGUUAAUAUAGAUUAUCCUGUUUUCAAUUCAGGAUUUUGAACUCCUUUCAAAGGCCCAAAGUGUGGUGUGGGGAAGUGAAAUAACUGACAUUGUCUAAAAUCACCGCCUGACAGAAAUAGUUUUUCCUUCAUAGAAAUUCUGUUAUUCAUGAUACUCUUCAACAAAUGAUGGCCAGCAUGAGUCGAAGCCAUUCUCAACUUCAUCGUAGAUGACCAAAUUAGAUAUUAGAAUGAAGGGCUACAUCGUUCAAUGCCAUGAUAAUGUUAGAUGUUAAUAUUUCAAAUAAAUAUACAGACAGUUUAUAUAGUUAGUGGUAGUCGUCCUCUCUUCAGAUGGUUAACUACUAUGCCAGUAGAUCCCAUAGACAGGAAUCAUCUUUCUCUUGAUGAAACUAAAAAUGUUUUUACAUGUUUUGUUAUUUCUACAAGAUCCAGAAAAAAGUAAGAAAAAGAGUUGUUUCUAUAAAUAGCAUCCAUUACAGUAUAACGUUUGUCUCUAGGAUUAACGUCAGGAUUCUUGCCUAAUUUUUCUUGAUUCUUCAUACUGUAUCUUCGCUAUAUUCUAUGAAAAAUUUGGAAGAGAUUUCUUCAAAAUCUUUACAUUUUUUUUAUUUUUACCAUGGAAAACGAGUUUGUUGUUCACAUAUAGGAAGAUUAAAUUUUCAAAAUCACAAACCCGAU
rnacentral:lncRNA from 1 species